AUGAACGCUAGCGACAGGCUUAACACAUGCAAGUCGAGGGGCAGCACAGGUAGCAAUACCGGGUGGCGACCGGCGCACGGGUGAGUAACGCGUAUGCAACUUACCUAUCAGAGGGGGAUAACCCGGCGAAAGUCGGACUAAUACCGCAUGAAGCAGGGGCCCCGCAUGGGGAUAUUUGCUAAAGAUUCAUCGCUGAUAGAUAGGCAUGCGUUCCAUUAGGCAGUUGGCGGGGUAACGGCCCACCAAACCGACGAUGGAUAGGGGUUCUGAGAGGAAGGUCCCCCACAUUGGUACUGAGACACGGACCAAACUCCUACGGGAGGCAGCAGUGAGGAAUAUUGGUCAAUGGCCGAGAGGCUGAACCAGCCAAGUCGCGUGAGGGAUGAAGGUUCUAUGGAUCGUAAACCUCUUUUAUAAGGGAAUAAAGUGCGGGACGUGUCCCGUUUUGUAUGUACCUUAUGAAUAAGGAUCGGCUAACUCCGUGCCAGCAGCCGCGGUAAUACGGAGGAUCCGAGCGUUAUCCGGAUUUAUUGGGUUUAAAGGGUGCGUAGGCGGCCUUUUAAGUCAGCGGUGAAAGUCUGUGGCUCAACCAUAGAAUUGCCGUUGAAACUGGGGGGCUUGAGUAUGUUUGAGGCAGGCGGAAUGCGUGGUGUAGCGGUGAAAUGCAUAGAUAUCACGCAGAACCCCGAUUGCGAAGGCAGCCUGCCAAGCCAUUACUGACGCUGAUGCACGAAAGCGUGGGGAUCAAACAGGAUUAGAUACCCUGGUAGUCCACGCAGUAAACGAUGAUCACUAGCUGUUUGCGAUACACUGUAAGCGGCACAGCGAAAGCGUUAAGUGAUCCACCUGGGGAGUACGCCGGCAACGGUGAAACUCAAAGGAAUUGACGGGGGCCCGCACAAGCGGAGGAACAUGUGGUUUAAUUCGAUGAUACGCGAGGAACCUUACCCGGGUUUGAACGCAUUCGGACCGAGGUGGAAACACCUUUUCUAGCAAUAGCCGUUUGCGAGGUGCUGCAUGGUUGUCGUCAGCUCGUGCCGUGAGGUGUCGGCUUAAGUGCCAUAACGAGCGCAACCCUUGCCACUAGUUACUAACAGGUAAAGCUGAGGACUCUGGUGGGACUGCCAGCGUAAGCUGCGAGGAAGGCGGGGAUGACGUCAAAUCAGCACGGCCCUUACAUCCGGGGCGACACACGUGUUACAAUGGCGUGGACAAAGGGAAGCCACCUGGCGACAGGGAGCGAAUCCCCAAACCACGUCUCAGUUCGGAUCGGAGUCUGCAACCCGACUCCGUGAAGCUGGAUUCGCUAGUAAUCGCGCAUCAGCCAUGGCGCGGUGAAUACGUUCCCGGGCCUUGUACACACCGCCCGUCAAGCCAUGGGAGCCGGGGGUACCUGAAGUCCGUAACCGCGAGGAUCGGCCUAGGGUAAAACUGGUGACUGGGGCU
rnacentral:rRNA from 1 species